AUGCGAAUAGCUCAAUUGGUAGAGCGAUAAAAUGAUAAUUUAUUGGUCGGAGGUUCGAUUCCUCCUUUGCGAACCA
rnacentral:tRNA from 1 species